UGGGGUGAUGAUGCCAGCCUGAGAGAAAGCAGACGCCCCUGCCGGGGGCGGGGCCCGCAGAGGCCCGGGAGUGCGCAGACGCAGUUCAGCUUCGUCAACCAGCCCCACGCUGGGUCCUGGGCCUGGCAGGGGGAUGAGCAUCCGAGGUCUGGAUUAAAUAAGGGGAUGCUUGCCGGUUCCAGCUCAACCUUCGGUGCUUUCAGUGGAUUGGCAAGGCCAGGUCUCAAGCCUGCCAGCAUUUGGGCUGAAAUUACACUCUCCUGGGUCUCCAGCUUGCCAACUGUAGCUCCUGGGUGUUGUCAGCCUCCGUAAUCAGUCUCCAUUGCAAAGACAUGGCCAUGUGACGGAGUCUGGCCAAUCGAAUGUAGCUGGAGGCGAGGUACACCUGGAAGUGAGGUACACCUGGAAGUGAGGUACACCUGGAAGUGAAGUACGCCUGGAGGUGAGGUACGCCUGGAGGUGAGGUAUGCCUGGAUGUGAGGUACAGCUGGAGGUGAAGUACGCCUGGAGGUGAGGUACACCUGGAUGUGAGGUACGCCUGGAGGUGAAGUACGCCUGGAGGUGAGGUACGCCUGGAGGUGAGGUACAGCUGGAGGUGAGGCACAUCUGGAGGUGAGGUACGCUUGGAGGUGAGGUACGCCUGGAGGUGAGGUACACCUGGAUGUGAGGUACGCCUGGAUGUGAGGUACGUCUGGAGGUGAGGUACGCCUGGAGGUGAGGUACGCCUGGAGGUGAGGUACGCCUGCACAUGAGGCACUUCUGGGCUGAUCUGUGCAGCCCUGUAUGUUCCUCCUUGAUCUGCUGCCCAAUGUCAAGCAUCCCACACACAACUUUGAGGCCCUAGGGGACAGCAGAGCCACAGACAGAAGGUGUCUGGGUCACUGAAUGACCACGUGGAGCAGAAACAGCCCUCCGCAUGCCAGUGGACUGUAUCCCUUUACCCGAGUGGGAAUGAACCUCUAUCGUAAGACGCCGGUGCAGUUUGGGAGCUGAUUGGGUACAGCAGCCAGCAUAGCUCCCCCCGGCUCAUACAUCCCCUGGGAGGGAGGCCCGGGAGGGCCACAUCCCCCGGUUUCUCUGCCUCCGUCUGGGUGUCACUCUCCAUCCGAGCGGGCUGGGUGAGCGUGAAGGGGAGAAGGAGAAGGCCGUUUCCAAGCGCUGGUUCCCUAGAGCCUCCCCCCCAGGAAGGUGUGAGUGACUUGACGCGGGGCUUCUGGAGCAGCGAUGGCACAGCAGAGACAGUGGGUGGAGCUGGGACUCUGAAGUCAGAGUUGUGUGUGUCGCUGACCUCUGCACAGUCGCCUGUCGUUUCUGAUAGUAAACCCACCUCCUGGAGACACGUGAACACGGGAAGAGCUCGAAUAGGAAGCACUUAGCAGAGCGUGUGGCACUCGGCAAACACUCCGUAAAAGGGAGUUAUCAUCAUCAUUAUUAUUUUUCUCAGGUCUCAGGUGAAGACGGCGCUGAAUUGGAAGCCUUUUGUCUCAUUCCAUUUCCAAGCCAGACGGCCCCAUUUUUCUCCCAGAUCCUGCAGUUCUUGAGCGGCCCCGGUGCCUAUUACACAAACCCCAAUGCAUCUUUGAAGUUAGCAGCUAAUUAUGUUCCAGGAAGUUAUAGAUCUGGAGUUUUCCCUGUGCCAGAGGCAAUUGCCUGCUCUGGCUCUCAUUUCACAGUGCAGCCUUCCAAGGCCUGAUGGAGGUUGUAAUUGGGAGCUCCCUCCCCCGGCCCAGGAGGCCUCUGGGGCCUUCCCUCUGCGCCUAAAGUCACACCUCCUUCCCUUUCCCACCUCUCAGCCUCCGCCUGCCCUGGGCCCUCCCUCGGCAGCCCAGCCACUCACAGAUGGGGGAAGGGUCUGGGCUGUCUGCCCUCGGCUGGGAGGCCAGGCACAAUCUCCUGUCCCAGUGCCCGGGAGCCCAGGAGAAACCGCCCUCCCUCCCAGAGAGGCACGUUUGGUCCUUCCCUAUUACGAAUCAGAGCAGUUUUUGCUGCUGAUCCACUGAGUGACUUGUGUCCGUUUAAGGUGUGAGUGAUUGCCGCCCUCCCACCUCGCCGCCUCCCUAAGCUGCCUCUCCACCCCUGACCUGCUCAUCCCCACUUCCCCCCUGCAGCCGGAGGAGCACCCCUGCCAAGCUAGGCCCCUCAUACUGGGCUGUCUGCAGGAGUGAAUUCCUUCUUCCAUGGGCAACACUCCGUGACACAGGGGUGGGACUAGGGCGAAGCCAGAAAGGGACUGCAGGUGUGAAAUUUAAGGAGGUGCACACUUGUACACCCCUGAGAUCGGGCGCCUCCUUAACUUGGGAGACCCUCUCCCCAUCUCUGUGGGAGAUGAACUCUCUGGAUACAGCCCAGCAUAGGCUCCCACCUCCUUCCCCUGCACUUCUGCUGACCCGUGGGCCGGACCCAAGGCUGGCCUCUCACCCUCAUCUCCUCACGUGGCCGGGCUCACCGUGAGCACUCCUUAAACGCUGGUGAAUAAGAGGAAGGAAUGACUCCCAACCACCAAGAUGAAAUGUAGCAAGAGAUGACGUCAGUAAGGCGCUGAGCUAGGCUCUGAGCACGCAGCAGGUGCUCUGCACAUACAAGGGCCGUUUCAAUCCGAAGUCCUCCGUUACCAGCUUCAGGAGGGCAGCAGGAGAGCGAGUCUGUGACCUGGUUCAUGGGAUGAAGAUCUGGGUAUUGAAGUUGAUCCCAAUCCAGUAGGUGCCUAAAGUGUGACACAGCCUGGAAAGAGAGCUGCCCCACCCCUAAUAUGUGCCAGACGCUGUGCUGGGCAUCCCUACCUCGUCACCCCGUUUGAUCUCCUUUAUUUUAUUAACAGUCAUUUCUGCAGCAUGAAUAUCCCAGGCUUGUUUUGACUUUGGAUCUUGUUUGGCUCUGAAUGUGUCUGAAUGGUUCUUGAAACUCCCAGCACAAUUUGUAUAAUGCUGUGCCGGACACAGUACUAAGUACCUCCCCAUAUGUUAGAUCACUGAUCUGAUCUCAGGCUAUUUUAAUAGAUAUACAGAGUCUAGAACAAAGGAGGUGAUAGUACCGAUCAUUUCUGAAUUAGUGGGAAUCUACCCAGACUGUUUCCUCCUCAGGGAGUCCCACUUUAAGAACUAUCUUGAUAAUUCCAAGUGAGCUCAGAACUACCCAGAUGCAAAAGGAGUCCACGUAAUGAGGAAAACAGAUGAAGGACACAGAGGGACACUUUGUCCAUAGAUGAGAAGAGUCACUGCCUUCAAUGAUAUAAUUUAAUUUAUUUCAUGGAGGAUUAAACUUAAUGGUGGGAGGCAGCUCCCCAGUCCCGGCUUGGACCAGGCAGGGACUCACCAGUGAGAGCCAUCCAGCCAUGGAGUGGGCUGCUUGGCUAGGUAGUGAGUGCUCUUCACCUGAGGUGAACAAAUCAAAAAGGGAUAUGUAUGCUACAGAAACAACUGCAUGGAAGAGAAAAGCUUCUAAACUGCUUCACAUAUGAGACUUGGAGCCUCUCUGAGCUACAAACACUUCAGUCAUCAAUCCAUCCAUCCAUCUAUCCAUCCAUCCAUCUAUCCAUCCAUCCAUCCAUCCAUCCAU